rnacentral:misc_RNA from 1 species
CUUCACCUUCCUGCUGGCGGUGUUCUCUCCUUCUUUCCCAGUAAGGAUGGAAGCACACAAAAUCAUAAACCGGAGUGAUACUCGACACCAAGAUGACAUUGAGUCCAGUAAACACCAAGAGAGCUGUCAUAGGCCGUGUUCUGUGUGGCAUCUUUCUUUAAAAUCUCCGCAAAAAGAACCCACAAGCGUGCCCAGCGAAGCAGCAACAACGAUAACAACCGGUGGUGGAGUGUGGACUAAGGCGUUAAUGAACAGCUGAAUGAAGCACCGUAACGGUGGUGGAUGGCAGCUAGAAUGAUG